UACGUAGGUGGCAAGCGUUACUCGGGAUCACUAGGCGUAAAGCGCAGGUAGGCGGUUUGGUAAGUCUGUUGUGAAAGCUCCCGGCUCAACUGGGAGAGGCCAACGGAAACUACCAGGCUAGAGUGUGGUAGAGGAAACUGGAAUUCCUGGUGUAGCGGUGGAAUGCGCAGAUAUCAGGAGGAACACCGGUGGCGAAGGCGGGUCUCUGGGCAGUAACUGACGCUGAGGAGCGAAAGCGUGGGGAGCGAACAGG
rnacentral:rRNA from 1 species